GUAGGGAAUAUUGGACAAUGGUCGGAAGACUGACCCAGCCAUGCCGCGUGCAGGAAGACGGCCCUCUGGGUUGUAAACUGCUUUUAUCUGGGAAGAAAAAGGCCAUGCGUGGCAAAUUGCCGGUACCAGAUGAAUAAGCACCGGCUAACUCCGUGCCAGCAGCCGCGGUAAUACGGAGGGUGCGAGCGUUGUCCGGAUUUAUUGGGUUUAAAGGGUGCGUAGGCGGCUGAUUAAGUCAGCGGUGAAAGACUUCGGCUUAACCGGAGCAGUGCCGUUGAUACUGGUUGGCUUGAGUGUCGGAGGGGUACAUGGAAUUGAUGGUGUAGCGGUGAAAUGCAUAGAUACCAUCAGGAACACCGAUAGCGAAGGCAUUGUACUGGCCGACAACUGACGCUGAUGCACGAAAGUGUGGGGAUCGAACAGGAUUAGAAACCCCCGGUAGUCC
rnacentral:rRNA from 1 species